UCUUGGUCGAUUUUAUACAUUAUAUUUGAAGUAACAGUGACUGGUCAUUUCAUUUUGUAUUGGGGUUUGGUUUUUUUCUCGAUUCAUUCCAAUUUUCUUUCCUUUCGCACUUUACAGGUAUCCCUCUCUUCAUCCCUUUUAGUUUUUAUCAUUUAGUGAAAUCAACUUCACAAAUAUAUCAUAUAAUAUAUUCAUAUAACA
rnacentral:lncRNA from 1 species